AAGCUCAGCGAGUGGUCCUCCAUUUCUCUGCUGUGACCUCCUUCCUCUUCAGCGACAGUUUCAUUAACGGCUAGUUUUAGCAAAUGUAGUACUACUUUUCUCGAAGCAAUAUUCUUUUAAAAGAAAAAUCUUCUCCACACUGGGUAUCUAUAUGAUUGAUUUUAGAAACUCCGGAUUUGCCUAUGUAUACUUGCUGUUGAUUGCAUUGUAGCAAUGUUUUGUCAUUUAUCCCUCCAUUGCCUGCUUUUGCGGACUGCAAACAGAUUAUCGGCUUGUGAGGCAAGGAAAAUAUCAGCAUAGGUUACCUAGUGAUUUACUCUUGGAAAAUCGAGGAUUUGAAUUUUUUUUAUAUAGAGGCUGAUGAUGUUCUGCUACUCAUUAUUGUAAACUGCGCCCAGAAUCCAUUUUUCACUCUGUCCAAAAUUAAUAUUACCUUUAAAAAUUCCUUGGGCUGAUGACGUUUUGCAUAGCUGGGACAAUUAUUUGCCUGUUUCGUGAAACACGCUAGGCCGAGGAGCUAAGAAUUUGCUUAUUACUUAGCAUCCCGUUUGAUCCCAUUGUUGUCCUGGAAUUGUUUUAUCACAUGAUUGAUCUGGGUGUGGCUUAAGUGGCUGUGGAACUUCAAAUUCCAUACCAGAGAACGAUCAAAAUGAAGAAGAGGGAUUUUGCAAAAGGAAGCAUCAGCAAGAGCUGAGGGCCAUCUUGCAUGCUAACCUUCAAGAGGCUCAUGGGCCAAUUGGAGUGUCUUAGGAAGUUUUGGUGCUUGUGAAGAUCCAAACAAUUGAUUUGGUCUCAUCAGCACAUACCUGAAUGAUUGUGCAGUUCAACUGAGAACUAAUUAGAGACACCUGGAAUGCGUGGCAAGAUAUGUUUCCAGAUUUUUCAAGUUCCUCCAUUUUUAGAAUUUGUUCCUCCUGGAUGAUCUAUCUGGAUCUAGAUAAGGCAUCUGUUGGAGGUGAACACGAAUUCUUUUUCUUGUAGAUAAGAACAUGCAGGGCCACUAGAGUCUCCGUGGAGCCAAUUUUCUUUGUGUCAGUCAUCGUUGUGGCGAUGACGAUCGAUUCUCAUGAUGUUGGUGGUGAAAGAAAAUGGAAGUUGGAGCAGAAUUUGCCAUUGUUCAGGAGUUUUAAUGUUUGCGAGUGACUUCAGGAUAUAUAUUUCACUGAGCUUAAAAAUUGGAAAACUCCGGAUGAAGCUCAGCUAGGGAUCAAUCUUGCUAGCUGAGCUUAAAUUGCUCAAAGUCAGAAGAAUUCUCUCGACUAAAGUCAUUCUUUAAUCUGCACUUCUUUGCUAUUGCUGAGGACUUCAUUUAUUUUUGGAGGACCUACUAUAGCAGUGGAUGGCAUAUUUAUAUCAUCACAGGAGGUUGGUAGACUUGCUGCAUUAAACUCGUUAUUUAGGAAUGCUGGAGACUUAUAUUGUUCCAAUCCCUCACCGCGCCUCGAGUCCGUGACCUUGAGAUUUGAUUCUCUUUCAAGACCAACCACAAGGCCAGCAAGAAGGCUGGUGCUGCAGACAAACAUUACUCGGAGCGGCUCCGUAUUCUCCAAAGAACGAUUGAAGGGGAGAUACUCUGUGGGAAUGGUCAGGCUGCCUCACAUACAGUGAAACAACGACUGCAAUAGCUUUCUCCAGUUCCAUAUUUCAAAAGAGGAAUCAAAUUUUGAAGGAUCUCCAAAGACGUCCAGCCGUCCCUAGAGGUGGUCUUAUGGGACGGGUCUUGAAGCCGUCCUCUAUGAGUUGGGCGACGGAUUCCGCAAUAGUCUCCCUUCUUCUCUUCAAUGGCAAGCAUAUAGGCGACAACAGCCGGUGAGCCGUCGGCAGUGAUCAUUAGGGAUGGGUUUUAAAGCUUUUAGGGACGGGUUCGGGCCCCAUCUCCUCUUUCUCGUAGU